UACGAAGGGGGCUAGCGUUGCUCGGAAUCACUGGGCGUAAAGCGCACGUAGGCGGAUUGCUAAGUCAGGGGUGAAAUCCUGGAGCUCAGCUCCAGAACUGCCCUUGAUACUGGCGGUCUCGAGUCCGGGAGAGGUGAGUGGAACUGCGAGUGUAGAGGUGAAAUUCGUAGAUAUUCGCAAGAACACCAGUGGCGAAGGCGGCUCACUGGCCCGGUACUGACGCUGAGGUGCGAAAGCGUGGGGAGCAAACAGG
rnacentral:rRNA from 1 species